UACGUAGGGUGCAAGCGUUGUCCGGAAUUAUUGGGCGUAAAGAGCUCGUAGGCGGUCUGUCGCGUCGGUUGUGAAAUCCCGAGGCUCAACCUCGGGUCUGCAGUCGAUACGGGCAAACUAGAGUAUUGCAGGGGAGACUGGAAUUCCUGGUGUAGCGGUGAAAUGCGCAGAUAUCAGGAGGAACACCGGUGGCGAAGGCGGGUCUCUGGGCCGUAACUGACGCUGAGGAGCGAAAGCGUGGGGAGCGAACAGG
rnacentral:rRNA from 1 species